AUUGAACGCUGGCGGCAUGCCUAACACAUGCAAGUCGAACGGGGCAGCAAUGCCUAGUGGAGGACGGGUGAGGAAUACGUAGGAAUCUGCCCUUAAGUGGGGGAUAACCAGGGGAAACCCUGACUAAUACCGCAUGAUCUCUUCGGAGCAAAGAGGGGGACCGCAAGGCCUCUCGCCUCUGGAUGAGCCUACGUCUGAUUAGCUAGUUGGUAGGGUAAAGGCAGACCAAGGCGACGAUCAGUAACUGGUCUGAGAGGAUGAUCGGUAACACCGGAACUGAGACACGGUCCGUACUCCUACGAGAGGCAGCAGUGGGGAAUAUUGGACAAUGGGCGCAAGCCUGAUCCAGCAAUGCCGCGUGUGUGAAGAAAGCCUUCGGGUUGUAAAGCACUUUAGCCUGGAAAGAAAAAACUUUGGUUAACACCCAAAGUCUUGACGGUACCAGGAGAAUAAGCACCGGCUAACUCUGUGCCAGCCGCCGCCGUAAAAC
rnacentral:rRNA from 1 species